rnacentral:rRNA from 1 species
UACGUAGGGGGCAAGCGUUAUCCGGAUUUACUGGGUGUAAAGGGGGCGCAGACGGCGAUGCAAGCCAGGAGUGAAAGCCCGGGGCCCAACCCCGGGACUGCUCUUGGAACUGCGUGGCUGGAGUGCAGGAGGGGCAGGCGGAAUUCCUAGUGUAGCGGUGAAAUGCGUAGAUAUUAGGAGGAACACCAGUGGCGAAGGCGGCUUACUGGACAGUAACUGACGUUGAGGCUCGAAAGCGUGGGGAGCAAACAGG